UACGUAGGUCGCAAGCGUUGUCCGGAUUUACUGGGCGUAAAGAGCGCGCAGGCGGCUGGUCAAGUCCAAUGUGAAAUCUCCCGGCUCAACUGGGAAACUGCAUCGGAAACUGAUCGGCUUGAAGAUGGGAGAGGGUAGUGGAAUUCCCGGUGUAGUGGUGAAAUGCGUAGAUAUCGGGAGGAACACCAGUGGCGAAGGCGACUACCUGGCCCAUUCUUGACGCUGAGGCGCGAAAGCUAGGGGAGCGAACGGG
rnacentral:rRNA from 1 species